rnacentral:lncRNA from 1 species
CAACAUGUGCUAACAUUUGAAAAACAGGUGGAGGAACAACAUCCAACAUAUGAUGUUGAACACGUUGUGGAGGAAGAAUAACAGAACAUCAUGUCAUGAUUAUUCAAGAAAUUAUGGAGGAGGGAAAGCAACAUAAGCUAGUUAUUGAACAACAACCAGCAAUUGUUGUUGUGAACUUGGACGAAGGAGAAGCAAUUCGAGGCCAAUGGGAAAAUAUAAAAAGGAAUGCCCCAUUUAUCAUUGGGAUGUUGAG